AAGUCAGACGUGGAAUCCCGAAGCUCAACUUCGGAACUGCAUCUGAAACUGCUAUUCUAGGGGGUAGGCGGGGAAAACGGAAUUCCAUGUGUAGCGGUGAAAUGCGUAGAUAUAUGGAAGAACACCCGUGGCGAAAGCGGUUUUCUAGCUUAUACCUGACGCUCAGGCCCGAAAGCGAGGGGAGCAAACAGGAUUAGAUACCCUGGUAGUCCUCGCCGUAAACGAUGCAUACUAGGUGUAGUUGGACUCAACCCCGACUUUGCCGUAGCUAACGUGUUAAGUAUGCCGCCUGGGGAGUACGCUCGCAAGGGUGAAACUCAAAAGAAUUGACGGGGACCCGCACAAGCAGUGGAGCAUGUGGUUUAAUUCGAUGCAACGCGAAGAACCUUACCCAGGCUUGACAUGUAGCGGACGGUACCAGAGAUGGUGCUUCCUUCGGGUCGCUACACAGGUGCUGCAUGGCUGUCGUCAGCUCGUGCCGUGAGGUGUUGGGUUAAGUCCCGCAACGAGCGCAACCCUUAUCGUUAGUUGCCAGCAUUUUGGAUGGGAACUCUAACGAGACUGCCUAGGUUAACUAGGAGGAAGGUGAGGAUGACGUCAAGUCCGCAUGGCCCUUAUGUCUGGGGCUACACACGUGCUACAAUGGCCGGUACAGAAGGCGGCGAAGCCGAGAGGUGGAGCAAAUCCCUAAAACCGGUCCCAGUUCGGAUUGGAGUCUGCAACUCGACUCCAUGAAGUCGG
rnacentral:rRNA from 1 species